rnacentral:misc_RNA from 1 species
UCCGAGUUGUCCCCGGCAGUCUCCUUAGAGUCCCCAGCUUUACCUGCUGGCAACAUGCGACGAGGGUUGCGCUCGUUGCGGGACUUAACCCAACAUCUCACGACACGAGCUGACGACAGCCAUGCACCACCUGUCUCCAGGUUCCCGAAGGCACCCCCACAUCUCUGCAGGGUUCCUAGGAUGUCAAGACCAGGUAAGGUUCUUCGCGUUGCAUCGAAUUAAACCACAUGCUCCACCGCUUGUGCGGGUCCCCGUCAAUUCUUUUGAGUUUCAACCUUGCGGCCGUACUCCCCAGGCGGAGAACUUAACGCGUUAGCUACGACACCGAAGGGCAGACCCCUCCGACAUCCAGUUCUCAUCGUUUAUGGCGUGGACUAC